rnacentral:rRNA from 1 species
AUUGAACGCUGGCGGCGUGCCUAACACAUGCAAGUCGAUCGGUAACAGGUGUAGCAAUACAUGCUGACGAGAGGCGGACGGGUGAGUAACGCUUGGGAAUCUGCCUAUUAGUGGGGGACAACCCGGGGAAACUCGGGCUAAUACCGCAUACGCCCUACGGAGGAAAGCCGGGGACCGCAAGGCCUGGCGCUAAUAGAUGAGCCCAAGUCGGAUUAGCUAGUUGGUAGGGUAAUGGCCUACCAAGGCGACGAUCCGUAGCUGGUCUGAGAGGACGACCAGCCACACUGGGACUGAGACACGGCCCAGACUCCUACGGGAGGCAGCAGUGGGGAAUAUUGGACAAUGGGGGAAACCCUGAUCCAGCGACGCCGCGUGGGUGAAGAAGGCCUGCGGGUUGUAAAGCCCUUUCGGUGGGGAAGAAAAGCCUCGACCUAACACGUCGGGGUAUUGACGUAACCCACAAAAGAAGCACCGGCUAACUCUGUGCCAGCAGCCGCGGUAAAGUCUGUACU